rnacentral:rRNA from 1 species
AAGCGUUUAUGACCAGACUUGGCCCGGUUGAUCAUCCAGCGUUCUCGCUGGUGCACUCUGCCGGUCCAGGCCAGCAUCAGUUCGUCGCGGGGGAUAAAGGUUUCGGGAAUGUGGCUCCUCGGAGUGUUAUAGCCCGUUGCGUAAUACCCUGCGGUG